AUCGAAGUACCUGUAAAGGCGCUCAGAGCAUGUGCCCACCAGCUGUCCCACAUCUUUUGCAGGAUCUUCAACCUGUCCCUGGCCCAGUCAUUCCCACCUGCCUGAAGUCGGCCACUAUCAUCCCCAUACCAAAGACAACACCAACAUCUAGCCUCAGCGACUACCGCCCUGUGGCCCUCACACCCGUCACUAUGAAGUGCUUUGAGAGACUGGCUCUCCAGCACAUCAAGGACUGUCUCCCCCCCCCCCCCCAUACGUGACACCCACCAGUUUGCAUAAUGGGCAAACAGAUCCUCAGAGGACGCCAUCACCAUAGCGCUGCAUGCUGUGCUGUGUCACCUGGAACAACAGGAGAGCUAUGCCAGAAUGCUCUUUGUGGACUACAGCACAGCGUUCAACACCAUCAUCCUGGACAUCCUGAUCACUAAACUAGCCACCCUGGGCCUAGACUCGGCCCCCAUCUUUCCUCCACCCACACUCUGAGCACCGGUUCACCACAAGGUUGCAUGCUGAGCCCCCUCUGUACACCUAUGCCUGCAGUCCGGCCCACGGUAAAAACAUCAUUGUCAAUUGCUGAUGACACCACGAUGGUCAGAGGGAAACGAGGCAGCCUACAGGGCAGAGGUCCAGAGGCUAACCCCCUGGUGCUCUAACAAUAAUCUGGCACUGAACGUGAGGAAAACAAAAGAGAUCAUCGUGGACUUCAGAAGGAACCACUUGGACAGGGACCUACUGCUGGCCUUCUACCACUCAUCCAUUGAGAGCCUGCUGACUUUAGCCAUUACUUCAUCUCCCCCUGGUACAAGAGAUGCACCGAGGCGGACAGAGGGAGGCUCCAGAGGACAGUCAAAAAAGCACAGAGGAUUAUUGGCUGCCCUCUCCCCUCCCUGAUGGACAUCUACUCACCCUGGUGCCUCAGGAGUGCUCACAACAUCAUCCAGGACACUUCACACCCGAUUGCCCAGCUAUUUGACCUACUGUCCUCUGAGAGGCAUUACAGGUGCAUCGAAGCAAGGACUAACAGAGUGAAAAACUCUUUCUUCCCGAGAGCCAUCACCACUUUGAACUCCCAUAGACAACAACCCCAGCCUUCAAUAUGAGGCAGCAAGUGCAAUAUACUUACCACUACCACUGCUGCUGCAUUAUCAUCUGUGACUAUUGUAUUUCAUCUGUAAAUAUUAACCGUGACUUGCACUAUAAGAAUCCAGUAAUAUAUAUUUCUAUAUCCUUAAAAAACUAAUAGGAAAAAAAUAAAAAAACAACAACAAAAAAGAAAACUAAAGGGAAAAACAUAAAAGAAAAAACUAAAAAAUGAAAACAGAAACAAAAACUGAAAAGGAAAAACUAACGGGAAAAAACUAAGUGAAAAAACUCUAGAGAAAAAACUGAAGAAAGAAAAAACUGAAGAAAAAAACAAAGAGAAAAAAAUUGAAAAAGAAAAACUUAAAAGGAAAAAAAGACAUUAAAACUUAGAAGGAAAAACUUCGGAGGAAAAUUGAAUAGGAAAAACUUAAAAAAUAAUCACCAAAGAACAACUGAAAAGGGGGAAACAGAAAAAAAUGAUCAAGGUAAACAAAACUGAAAAGGGGAAACUAAAAAUGGAAAAACUGAAGAGGUCAAACUAAAAAGGAAAAACCGAAGAAAUAAAACUAAAAAGGAAAAACUGAAGAAAGGAACCUUAAAGGGAAAAAACUUGAGAAAAAAAAACUAAAAAAAGGAAAUUAAAAUUAAGAGGAAAAACUGUAGAAGAAAAUCGACAGAUAAAAAAGAGGGUGAACUAUAGAAGUAAGAGUAAAUUGGACAAAGUAAAGAUAAAAAACUGAUGAGAAAUAAUAAAAGGGGAAAAACUAGAAAGUAAACUUGAGGAAAAAAAUAAGAGGCAAAACUGACGGGCUGUUAAAACCUGAAGAAAAAAUGAAGAGAAAAAAAACAAAGAGGAAAAUUCAAAGAGGAAAAUCUAUGGAGAAAAAAAAAAGGAUAACUGAAAAGGAAAAACUAAAGAUGAGAAACUUAAGAAGGAAGAGUAAAGUGGGCAAACUGAAGAUGAAAACUGAAGAGGAAAAUUUAAGAAAAAACAUCUAAAGAGCAAAAACUUAUACAACAGAAGAAAAACUAAAUGGUACAAAAUCUGUGAUCAAAAAACUGAGAAGGAAAAACUGAAGAGAAAAAAGCUAUAGAGCAAAGUGAAGCCAAAAAACAAAGAGGAAAAUCCAAAAAAGGAAAACUGAAGAUAGGGAUAACUGUAGAAAGGGAUAACUAAGAAGUAAAAACAAAAAGAGAAAGCUAAACAAGGAAAACUUGAAGAGUAAAAAUGAAAAAGGAAAAAUAAAAUAAAAUCAAAUAAAGCAACCCGAUUGGAAGUGAAGACAAUACUCAGGCGCUGAGACUGAGGGCUGCUGGCUUCUUAAAGUGAUUUUUUUUCAGCUGAAAUAAUUUUUCGUUAGAAGGGACUUCUGGUAGUCGGAUUUAGUUGCUGGAAGCUUUUUUUUCGCUCCAUUCAUUCCGUAAGAAUUGAAUUUAUUAUUGAGCUAAAAACCAAAAUAAAACCUUUAUGUAUUAUUUAUAACUACUGUUUUGUUCUGAUUUAAUUCUGAAGUUUACAGUAAUAUGUAUAUAUAGACUGAUGUCCUGAUAGCCUGAUAAUUAUACAGCAAACAUGAUUUAUGACAUGGUGUGCUUCCUGGUGAGCCUCUUCAGGAUUGCUUGACUGUGGAAAAUGCAAAUAUACAAUAAUUGUAGAGACACAAGACACAUGAUCUGUUCAAGGUUCAGAAGAGCCAUUUAGGAAAAACACUUGAAUUGCGAUAUCAGAGGGACAGGAAGAGACUGAAUAGACUGGUCAGGAGGGCCAGUUCUGUCCUGGACUGUUCUUUGGACUCCCUGGAGGAGGUGGGUGAGAGGAGGAUGUUAACAAAGCUUGUAUCCAUCAUGGACAAUCCCUCUCACCUACUGCACCAGACUGUGG
rnacentral:lncRNA from 1 species